rnacentral:rRNA from 1 species
AUGCUACGCCAUGGGGAAGGGCCACCGCCGGCAAGAGCAGCACCCAUGAAGGUCGUGGUCACGCAAUAUGAUGGAGAACAUAAAUCCGGAUGUUCCUUGCCGAUGCCUCCACUGCACGGAGAGGAUGUCAUCACGGGACACAAUGGAAAGCAUGGUGCGGACACGACGAGAGGCAUCCCGUGGGCGAGGGAGAAGCCCGAGAUAUGGCACAAUAUGGCACAGACUAAUUGGGUAAUUGCCACAUGCAUAAUAGUUUGGACCAUCGGGAAAGAGGGCUACGAUGGCAAGAAUCUUCGCCACAUCGGGCAUUUUGCUCAUGUUGACAUCAACAAACAUUAG